CCCUAUGGGGUGCAGCGGUGGUUUCAUCGGCGUGGGCAAAUCCGCCAUAAUGUUGUACCAUUGCUUAGGUAUUUCAUGAUCUUCUAAUAAUGUUUUGACCUGUUCCAUAGACUCUCUCCUUUAAAAGAAUUUAUUUUGCGUUAUCCAUCUAUUAGUUUCCCUCUGGUUGAGUCGCGGCUAAAAAAAAUGCCAUGGGAAUUUUUCUUCCCACGGCAUUUCGAAACGUUUAAGAGUCAUGGGAAGGAACUUCCCUGCCCAUGCUCGAUCAUCAAAAAGAUCUUAUGGGCAGACAUUUAUCGUCUGCCACCACCAGUUUUUGUUUGGAAUGUGUAUCUGCAUUGACUACCAUCAACUUUCGAAAAACUUGAUUUGUCCCUAACAUAGCCGCGAAAGCCUUGUCAAGGCGAAAAUAAGAAGAGCGCAGAGAUCCUCAAUAUUAAGCUCGCAAUUGGCGGGGGGGC
rnacentral:rRNA from 1 species